rnacentral:rRNA from 1 species
CUGGUCGAGUCGGCCUGCGCGGAAGAUGUAACGGGGCUAAACCAUGCACCGAAGCUGCGGCAGCGACACUGUGUGUUGUUGGGUAGGGGAGCGUUCUGUAAGCCUGUGAAGGUGUGUCGUGAGGCAUGCUGGAGGUAUCAGAAGUGCGAAUGCUGACAUAAGUAACGAUAAAGCGGGUGAAAAGCCCGCUCGCCGGAAGACCAAGGGUUCCUGUCCAACGUUAAUCGGGGCAGGGUGAGUCGACCCCUAAGGCGAGGCCGAAAGGCGUAGUCGAUGGGAAACGGGUUAAUAUUCCCGUACUUGGUGUUACUGCGAAGGGGGGACGGAGAAGGCUAUGUUGGCCGGGCGACGGUUGUCCCGGUUUAAGCGUGUAGGUGUGUGUUCCAGGUAAAUCCGGUUCACUUUAACACUGAGGCGUGACGACGAGGCACUACGGUGCUGAAGCAACAAAUGCCCUGCUUCCAGGAAAAGCCUCUAAGCAUCAGGUAACAUCAAAUCGUACCCCAAACCGACACAGGUGGUCAGGUAGAGAAUACCAAGGCGCUUGAGAGAACUCGGGUGAAGGAACUAGGCAAAAUGGUGCCGUAACUUCGGGAGAAGGCACGCUGACACGUAGGUGAAGUGAUUUACUCAUGGAGCUGAAGUCAGUCGAAGAUACCAGCUGGCUGCAACUGUUUAUUAAAAACACAGCACUGUGCAAACACGAAAGUGGACGUAUACGGUGUGACGCCUGCCCGGUGCCGGAAGGUUAAUUGAUGGGGUCAGCGCAAGCGAAGCUCCUGAUCGAAGCCCCGGUAAACGGCGGCCGUAACUAUAACGGUCCUAAGGUAGCGAAAUUCCUUGUCGGGUAAGUUCCGACCUGCACGAAUGGCGUAAUGAUGGCCAGGCUGUCUCCACCCGAGACUCAGUGAAAUUGAACUCGCUGUGAAGAUGCAGUGUACCCGCGGCAAGACGGAAAGACCCCGUGAACCUUUACUAUAGCUUGACACUGAACAUUGAGCCUUGAUGUGUAGGAUAGGUGGGAGGCUUUGAAGUGUGGACGCCAGUCUGCAUGGAGCCGACCUUGAAAUACCACCCUUUAAUGUUUGAUGUUCUAACGUGGACCCGUUACCCGGGUUGCGGACAGUGUCUGGUGGGUAGUUUGACUGGGGCGGUCUCCUCCUAAAGAGUAACGGAGGAGCACGAAGGUUGGCUAAUCCUGGUCGGACAUCAGGAGGUUAGUGCAAUGGCAUAAGCCAGCUUGACUGCGAGCGUGACGGCGCGAGCAGGUGCGAAAGCAGGUCAUAGUGAUCCGGUGGUUCUGAAUGGAAGGGCCAUCGCUCAACGGAUAAAAGGUACUCCGGGGAUAACAGGCUGAUACCGCCCAAGAGUUCAUAUCGACGGCGGUGUUUGGCACCUCGAUGUCGGCUCAUCACAUCCUGGGGCUGAAGUAGGUCCCAAGGGUAUGGCUGUUCGCCAUUUAAAGUGGUACGCGAGCUGGGUUUAGAACGUCGUGAGACAGUUCGGUCCCUAUCUGCCGUGGGCGCUGGAGAACUGAGGGGGGCUGCUCCUAGUACGAGAGGACCGGAGUGGACGCAUCACUGGUGUUCGGGUUGUCAUGCCAAUGGCACUGCCCGGUAGCUAAAUGCGGAAGAGAUAAGUGCUGAAAGCAUCUAAGCACGAAACUUGCCCCGA